rnacentral:lncRNA from 1 species
UUCCUUCCCCCUUUUCUCCUCCCUGCAUUUCCUUCUCUUCCCUUCUCUCCUCAUUUCCUUCUCCCUUCCCCCUUCCUUCCCCCUUUUCUCCCCUCCCUUCCUUUUGCCAGGUUCAACACUUGCAGUUUAUUGGGUUACAACCAUGAAAUCGUCAGAUACAGAUGCAUCAACAUACAGUUUGGAGCAUAAGAUGUUGGACCAAGGAGUGCAGGUACAAAUUUCACCUUUUAACAUUUUAAGAGAUUAUUUUGGACGUCUUCUUUUGCAGUCUAGUUGUUGUCUUUGUUCUACGUAGUUAUUUUUGUUAUCUCAAUAUUUCAUGAUUUGGAAGCAAUAUGUUGUCCAACUGUACUAUAUUGGCCACUUGCUAAGGAAACUAUGCUAAGUAAAUCUAGCUUCCUAUCUGAUUUGAUCUAUACUAUGGCCUUGUCUGGCUUGGUCUUCUCUGUGUGUCAUUUCCUGUUUCUGAU